ACAAAAAAAGGUGUAUGAAUUCAUAAAAACCCCAUUCAUACGAAUUAAACAAAAUAGAUAUCGAAGUAGUUCUGAUGAUUCAAUGAUAUUAUCACUUCAAUUCGGAGUUCUUGCUUACUUCGGCUGGGUGAAAAUAUUUUUGAUGGAAUAAUUAAGUCAUAAUUUAUUGGUUGAUUGUAUCAUUAUCUUUUUUUUAGGAGGAACUUAUCAAGAAUCUAUUGAUUUCUGCCGCUUUCGUUAUUAUUGCUGAAUUGGUUGU
rnacentral:lncRNA from 1 species